rnacentral:rRNA from 1 species
AACGAACGCUGGCGGCGUGCCUAACACAUGCAAGUCGAACGAAAACUCCCUGCUUUUGUGCGCUCGUCUACGUACGGCCUGGUAAGUUGCACUUGGGUUACCUGUACUUCCCCUUGGGGUAACUUCAUACCGCUUGAUCUCAUCCCACCAAGGAUCUCUUGCUGUGGGGUGGGCGUGGGUAGGAUUCGCCAGUUGGUAGGGUACAAGCCUACCAUGGCGACGAUCCAUAGCUGGUGUGAGAGGAUGAUCAGCCACACUGGGACUGAGACACGGCCCAGACUCCUACGGGAGGCAGGAGUGGGGAAUAUUGGACAAUGGGCGAAAGCCUGAUCCAGCAAUGCCGCGUGAGUGAUGAAGGCCUUAGGGUUGUAAAGCUCUUUUACCCGGGAUGAUAAUGACAGUACCGGGAGAAUAAGCUCCGGCUAACACCGUG